AUUGAACGCUGGCGGCAUGCUUUACACAUGCAAGUCGAACGGCAGCGCGGGCUUCGGCCUGGCGGCGAGUGGCGAACGGGUGAGUAAUGCAUCGGAACGUGCCCAGUCGUGGGGGAUAGCCCGCCGAAAGCCGGAUUAAUACCGCAUCCGACCUGAGGGUGAAAGCGGGGGACCGAAAGUCCUCGCGCUUUUUUAGCGGCCGAUGUCGGAUUAGCUAGUUGGUUGGGUAACGGCUUACCAAGGCGACGAUCCGUAGCUGGUCUUAGAGGACGACCCGCCACACUGGGAGUGAGACACGGCCCAGACUCCUACGGGAGGAAGCAGUGGGGAAUUUUGGACAAUGGGGGCAAGCCUGAUCCAGCCAUGCCGCGUGAGGGAAGAAGGACUUCGGGUUGUAAAGCGCUUUUGUUCGGGAAGAAAUACUCUGGGCUAAUACCCCGGGGGGAUGACGGUACCGGAAGAAUAAGCACCGGCUAACUACGUG
rnacentral:rRNA from 1 species